rnacentral:rRNA from 1 species
GAGAACCCAAAAGAUCGAUUGAGGAGAUUCAUCGUCAAAAUAUUUGGUAUUAAUGUUAAUUAUGAUAUGGUAAAUAAUCCUUGUGGUUAGUAUACUGUACAUUUUAAUAUUAUUUUUGCCUUAUGUGUCGGCGUGCACUUCUCCUCUAGUAGAACGUCGCGACCCGUUAAAUGUUGAUUUAUGGCCCAAUUGAUUGUCUCUGAUUCUGCUUGCAGUUAUUAAAGAUCAUUGGUGUUACCUAAUCAACUGUUUGACGGUACUCGUAUGGUAAUUAAGUCGCUAUUUAUUAGCGUUGAGUUCAUCACAAGUGCGAUUAAUUUUUAAUAGUACGGAUCUAAUGCCGUCGUUAAAAUUAAUCAACUGUUGGUUGAUGGUAUUCUUUAACUGACUUUUAUACCGGUCAGCGACGCUACUGCUUUGGGUACUUUCAGGACCCGUCUUGAA